GUUCGCUUCGGUGUACAUGUACUGAGAUUGAAAUGGUACACAGACAAUUAACGUGGCCUUUUCUCAAGGAUGAGACACAAAACCGUUACGUGUUCCACGUUUCA